GAUUUCAUCGUCAAAUGGUUAAGACACAAUAUUUUCAUUAUUGUAAUCUUGGUUCAAUCCCAAGUGAAAUCU
rnacentral:tRNA from 1 species